rnacentral:lncRNA from 1 species
UCUCAGCCAUACCUGGAAGUGGCCAUUCAUUUUUACAUUCUAAGGCCAUGUUCUUAGUAUUGAACUUGACCACACAGCUCAUAAUGCUUUAGAAGCCUCCAGCUAGAACACUGAGGAAUGACCUCAGAAUUCUUCUACUUAGCCUUGUCCCUACCUCUUUACUCCUCUGUAGGCAGUAAUUCUUUUUUCUUUUCUUUCUUUUUUUUUUCUUUUGGUGUAACAGUAUCGCAUGAGCCAAGACUGUCAUGAAACUAUUUGGAUACUGUACUCUGGUUCCUUCAUCUCCUCCAUCUGCAUCAGCCUAAAUUGUCCUAUUUUUAGGUUUUCUAGUUCUGUUGUGCCCUUUAUUCAAUGCAAGCCAUCAACAAGUUCCUUAAACAUAAAACUCUGUGACACUCUAAACUGCAAGACAAUGUGACAAUGAGUAUGCCAGUCUGAAAAGAACAAAGGAGCAGGGUUCAGAAGAACUGGCCUUUACCAGCUCUGUCAUUUUCCAGUGGUGUGGCCUUGCAGAGGUCACUUCAGUUUUCCAGGCUUUGGCCAAAGAAAGGUGGGGGCAGGUGGUACCUUCCCAGCUCAAGUCUUCUGGAAUAGAGCGUACGCCCAUGAAGCCCUGCACCUGUUGGAGCUUCAUAGCUGUAAUCAAGGAGCCUCUGCCAUGAACCCGGGGAUAAGUGAGGAAAGAAAUUUUUCCUCCUUCACAGUAUCAAGUGCCAGGCCAGGGCACUUUGUCCAGGCCUCACUGUGAAGAAAGAGUAAUGUUCAAGGAUGGCAGCAGGAAGGACCCUAAUGAAGAGGUUUAUCUGAUUGGUUUACUGGAGUCCUAUGUGGGAUGAAUAGCUUCAGCCUUUGCGCUUGCACCUCUUUGCUGUCCACUCCAAUCAAGAACGGGGGCCCUCGCAACUCUCUCAGUUCUGAAACAAAUUAAAUCUCAGUGACAGACUCUAUCUGCCUCGAGUUCUCCAUUAUGCUUCGCUUUAGGUUUGCUUUGGCAAUGACAAAACUGCUUUGACAUAUUUGCGGAUUCUCAGGCCCGUGUUCUCAGCUCCCCCACCUCCACCUUUCUGCUGUCCAAUGUGAUUUUUGUAAUGGCAAAACCAUUGCGAUCCUUCUCAGGCAUCCCAGUGUCUAUAGCUUUUCAGCUACAUAUCAGCAACAUUCAGCCACAAGUGUGGCUCUGACAGGCUGUGGGGGGCAGAGGUGGGAGAAUGCCAGAGACUGGGGAGUGGUUUCCUAAGCCUCCUUCCUCACCCUCCUUCCAGCAGUUCACUCCUUUAAAGAGAAAUCAUUCUCUCCCGUGUCUCCGCAGGUCACUGGAAGAAUGUGGCCUGGGGCCCUUCAGUACCAUUUAAAUCUAUGCUUGCAAUUUAGCAAAUCUUUAGAUCUGUUCCCCCAGGCUGUGGGGAAACAGAUCUCAGGUUUCCCCUGAUGCCUUCAGGGGAAGCUGCAAAACUACCUUCACCCUAAUCACCUGCCUCAUUAGACUCACAACAGACAGAUGUUCCCUCCUCCUUGAGGGCUUCUAACUUAAGCCUUUCUCACCUAAGUUUCCUUAUAAUGGCGGGAAAAGAGAGGAACAGAAUCCCAGGUAGGCCAUCAAUCAUCCUAACGUUGACAACAAUAAGCAUGUUGACGGUUAUAAAGUCUGCGUUUUCCAAGCUUCUGUUAGUAUGCUAAGAGUUGCCCUGUUGGAAUUAAUAAUUGCAAUGAUAUUGGUGUUGUAGUCAUCACUUGAGGCCUAUUAAGGUCCCUUUUAGUUCUAAAAUACUGUUCAUUCAUUGCCUCAUUCAUGCAUUCACCAAACACUGAGCAUCCACCAUAUAUCAGAGCCUUUGGUCAGAGUUCCCUGGAUGGAAGUCCUGUGGUGACUGCUGCUCCAUCUGAGCCCCUUAAAAUCUCAGAGACUGAGCUGGGUGUUUUAGAAAUUCAGGUAGUCACAAAUCCUGACCAGAAUGGCUGAGAUUUCUGAGCUGGAACCCAGCACCCUAGAACUAAGGCUCAAGCCCCUUGUGAGAACAAGAACCCUAAGCUUAGAUGCCAGAAUUCAAGUUUCAGUUUUUCCCCUUAAAAUGACCCUAAAUCCCUUAAAACUGCAAAAUGAGUGGUCAUGCCCCAGACUGCGGCCUCCAGACUCUGCUACUAGCCAGCCACUCUUGUCAUCUGGAAGGGAAGAUUUGGUUGCUACAACAUGCCACCAUACUGGGAGUUGCAAGACCUGGUUUGGUCCUCAUGCAUUGGAUCACCUUACUCAAACCACCUUGGCCUCAGCUUCUUCAUUAAUAAAAUGCUAUUAGACUUUAUUUACACACAGUUGAAAAAGGACUAAUACAAAUGCCCAUAAAAUCUACAGACUAGACUAGAUGUUAAGUAAGGUGACUUUCCACUCUAAAACUCUAUACAUUAUUUGAUUCAUUUAUUUAACAUAUCUUGAGAACAUGUUUUAUGUCAGUUACUAUGAUAAGAGCUCAUAAAAUAUGUCCCAAUAUCCAUAACAGGAAGGACAUUACUUCAUAAUAAGAUUAAAUGGCUGCAAAAAAUUCAAUGCUUGGAUAUCCUAAUAACAGGUGUAAUAAUAAUCACUACUCUUAUUAAUUUUGUACUUAUCAUAUGUCAGGCAACAGAGUGAAUGUUCUACACAGGUUUUGUUGCAAUUUAUCUUCACGAAACAACCAUAUAAGUAGAUAUCAUUGUACAUUGUUCAACCACUAUUUAUUGUGUAACUAGGGUGUGGUGGGCCUUGAACUAGGCAUUUGGUAUCACCAUACAGAGAUUGAAUGUGCAGGCAUUGAGUGGUUAAAUAACUUCCUAGGCACACUGCUUGCAAAUGGCAGAAAGAACCAGAAAUCUUAUCCGCUAGGCUCUAGAACCCAAGUUCCUAACUGCUAACUUUCAUGCCUACAUCAGCUUGGUUUUCAUGAUCCUCAAAAUGUCAGUCAAAGCCAGUGUUUUCUGAAUCAAUAACUCCCUCCCUCACAGUGUCCUUUUCCAACUUAGCUCCUCUCGUUUAUGAGCCAACCAUCUCCAUGGCAGUCCCCUUCACUAUGAAAUAGUCGUUUGUAUUCUCCAGGCUUCACUAGUUCUCAUUUUCAAUUGCCACCUGAACACUGCUACUGCUAUUUUCUUCUUGUCUUCCACUCUUUGCUCUCUCCUUCACCUCUCCUAUAACUCUGCAAAAGAUCUGUGAAUUGGCUAAGCUGAAGGACUCUACCAUAACCUGAUUCCAGAGAAGCAAACUGUGAACCCUUUUGAAAACAUUUGCUGCACUACUCAGAGCAGACGUAGUGACCAGGAAUUCAAGACCAACUUUCAAUGAAGCUGGAAGUGUGCCUGUCUUGGCGGAUUUAGAAACUGGACAGCCCCUUCCUAUCUUGAAACCACAUUUGAUUUGACAGCGUAGCUAAAAGGAAAAGGACGAAUAGUAACUGAGUUGAGUUUUAUGUGCACACGGAACAUAUAAACACAGCUUCAAGAUAAAGAACUUUGAGUCAGAUUUUCACAUGUCAUGUGUGAGACCAUGCAGCAAACAAUAGAGAGAUGGGAUGGGAUAGCUGUUGCAGACUGAGAUGGGAUUAAAAAGGGAUCCCAUGGCUUUUCACUUAGCUAAAACAAUCUGGAAAUGUUAACGUCAUAAUGCACAGCAUCACCUUAGGGAGUUCUCCAAAACAAUGGCUGGCUGUUCAGACUAAUCAGACAUUGGUAUAAUCUUUGACCUCAGUCUAAAUAGGUAGCUCUCAGAAUCUGUGUGGCUGUUCAUGCUGUCAGGGGCCAUGAUGCUGGAAUGGGAGGUGAACUGGAACUGUGAAGCUACUUGAUAAAACAUGGUGUUGGGCUCCUUAGGCGUUAACUCAGAUAUCCCAAUUGCUGCUUGGCUACCCCAAAACUCCAACGCACCUCAUUAUUUCAUAAGAGAUGUUAAAUACAAAUUGUUCAUUAAAAUACAUAUUAUUGGAUGUUAAACUACCGUGUAAUUGAUUUUCUAUCCAUUGCCUAGUGGUUAACCCUCAAUAAAUGCUUUUUGUAAUCAACUUAAAGUAUAAUACCUACCACGCUUGAUGUCUUUCUCCUUUGAUUUAAUAAGAAACCAAUUCUAUAUUAUUGAAAUUGUACUUGAUAAUGAAAAAGUUGGUCAAAUUUCAAGAAUAGCAUAAAAAAAAAACCUCUUUGGCCUGAACCUGUCCAACUUUAUAGAGGGAUCUCAGUACAACGGAGAACUCAGGGGAACCUAGGUCCUGUUCCAACCAUGGGGUAUUAGCUAAGGUCCAAGAGAGUCAAGUGCUAUGCUCAGAGCUAAGAGAACAGCGGGGUAGACUAGAAAUACUAUGCAGGGACUCUUGUUCAUAGUGCAAU